rnacentral:rRNA from 1 species
UACAGAGGGUGCGAGCGUUAAUCGGAAUUACUGGGCGUAAAGGGCGCGUAGGCGGUCAUGCAAGUGAGAUGUGAAAGCCCCUGGCUCAACUGGGGAAGUGCACCCGAAACUGAGUAGCUUGAGUGCAAAAGAGGGCCGCGGAAUUCCCGGUGUAGAGGUGAAAUUCGUAGAUAUCGGGAGGAACACCGGUGGCGAAGGCGGCGGCCUGGGUUGACACUGACGCUGAGGCGCGAAAGCGUGGGGAGCAAACAGG